GAUGAAGAACGCAGCGAAAUGCGAUAAGUAAUGCGAAUUGCAGAAUUCAGUGAAUCAUCGAAUCUUUGAACGCACAUUGCGCCCGCCAGUAUUCUGGCGGGCAUGCCUGUCCGAGCGUCAUUUCAACCCUCGAGCCCCUCCGGGGGGUCGGCGUUGGGGAUCGGCCCUCCCUCGCGGGGGCCGCCCCCGAAAUGCAGUGGCGGUCCCGCCGCAGCCUCUCCUGCGCAGUAGUUUGCACAACUCGCACCGGGAGCGCGGCGGGCCCACGCCGUAAAACGACACACCCUUCUGGAAAUGUUGACCUCGGAUCAGGUAGGAAUACCCGCUGAACUUAAGCAUAUCAAUAAGCGGAGGA
rnacentral:misc_RNA from 1 species